rnacentral:rRNA from 1 species
AGGCAGCAGUGGGGAAUAUUGGGCAAUGGGCGCAAGCCUGACCCAGCAACGCCGCGUGAGGGAAGAAGGUUUUCGGAUUGUAAACCUCUGUCCUAAGGGACGAAGGAAGUGACGGUACCUUAGGAGGAAGCCCCGGCUAACUACGUGCCAGCAGCCGCGGUAAUACGUAGGGGGCGAGCGUUGUCCGGAAUGACCGGGCGUAAAGGGCGUGUAGGCGGCAGUAUAAGUCCGGAGUGAAAGUCCUGCUUUCAAGGUGGGAAUUGCUUUGGAGACUGUACAGCUUGAGUGCGGAAGAGGUAAGUGGAAUUCCCAGCGUAGCGGUGAAAUGCGUAGAGAUUGGGAGGAACACCAGUGGCGAAGGCGACUUACUGGGCCGUAACUGACGCUGAGGCGCGAAAGCGUGGGGAGCGAACAGGAUUAGAUACCCUGGUAGUCCACGCUGUAAACGAUGAAUACUAGGUGUGGGAGGACUGACCCCUUCCGUGCCGCAGUUAACACAAUAAGUAUUCCACCUGGGGAGUACGACCGCAAGGUUGAAACUCAAAGGAAUUGACGGGGGCCCGCACAAGCAGUGGAUUAUGUGGUUUAAUUCGACGCAACGCGAAGAACCUUACCAGGAUUUGACAUCCAACUAACGAAGUAGAGAUACAUUAGGUACCCUUCGGGGGAAGUUGAGACAGGUGGUGCAUGGUUGUCGUCAGCUCGUGUCGUGAGAUGUUGGGUUAAGUCCCGCAACGAGCGCAACCCCUAUUGUUAGUUGCUACGAAAGAGCACUCUAGCGAGACUGCCGUUGACAAAACGGAGGAAGGCGGGGACGACGUCAAAUCAUCAUGCCCCUUAUGUCCUGGGCUACACACGUAAUACAAUGGCGGUCAACAGAGGGAAGCAAAGCCGCGAGGUGGAGCAAAUCCCUAAAAGCCGUCUCAGUUCGGAUUGCAGGCUGCAACUCGCCUGCAUGAAGCUGGAAUUGCUAGUAAUCGCGGAUCAGCAUGCCGCGGUGAAUACGUUCCCGGGCCUUGCACACACCGCCCGUCA